GCAUAUCAAUAAGCGGAGGAAAAGAAACCAACAGGGAUUGCCCCAGUAACGGCGAGUGAAGCGGCAACAGCUCAAAUUUGAAAUCUGGCCCCCAGGGUCCGAGUUGUAAUUUGCAGAGGAUGAUUUUGGCGAGGUGCCUUCCGAGUUCCCUGGAACGGGACGCCACAGAGGGUGAGAGCCCCGUCUGGUUGGACGCCGAGCCUAUGUAAAUCUCCUUCGACGAGUCGAGUAGUUUGGGAAUGCUGCUCUAAAUGGGAGGUAUAUGUCUUCUAAAGCUAAAUAUUGGCCAGAGACCGAUAGCGCACAAGUAGAGUGAUCGAAAGAUGAAAAGCACUUUGAAAAGAGGGUUAAAUAGUACGUGAAAUUGUUGAAAGGGAAGCGCUCAUGACCAGACUUGGGCCCGGUGAAUCAUCCAGCGUUCUCGCUGGUGCACUUUGCCGGGCUCAGGCCAGCAUCAGUUUGCCCCGGGGGAUAAAGGCUUUGGGAAUGUGGCUCCUCCGGGAGUGUUAUAGCCCAUUGCAUAAUAUCCUGGGGCGGACUGAGGUUCGCGCAUCUGCAAGGAUGCUGGCGUAAUGGUCAUCAGCGACCCGUCUUGAAACACGGACC
rnacentral:rRNA from 1 species